rnacentral:misc_RNA from 1 species
CAGCCCCAUGCGACUCUUGCGGACGAUCCAUCAUGUUGAAGGAGAUGGAUAUCCACCAAAUUGCCGUUCAUCCAAAAAGUUAAAUGAGAAGAACGAAGCUUUGAGGCACAACUGCACGAGGGGCUGGCUAUGUGAUCAUGUAGCGUGGAAGCAUGAUCUAGCAAAUCCAAUUUUUACCCGAGUUGGACCCUGUUGCUCUAUAGGUGUUUUGAUUAAUUAUAUGUGUUUAUAAUCGACUCUUGUCCUUUGUGAAAAGGGGUGACAUAAAAAGAAAGGGAAAGAAAAA